UCAUAAAGUAAAAAUUAUGAGCAGAUAAUAGCUAGAUUGCUCAUUUAUUCUAUGUCUUGAGUCAGUAUUGUUUAUAAAUAAGAGUUCCAGCUUUCAAAACAGGUUUAUGAAUCAAUUAAGUUUUAGAGAUCGAAUCAAGGAAUUUGAUCAUUCUAUCUUUUAAUAUUGGCAGCAGCAGCAGCUUAUUCUGCUCCUUGGAAUCUUUUUUAAAUUUUCAAAUCCUGCAAAAGUUUUAGUGUCAUUAUUUCUUUUCUUUGAGAAGUCAUAUAUUCCAAAAGCUCAUCUAUAUUAAAUUCCAUCACACAUAUUAGGCCUACAAUAACGAUGACGAGCAAAUAUCACCUCAUGCUUCUCUCCAUCUGCAGCAUCAGCCUGCAUCAUCUGCCAACAUCAGAAGCUCAACCAAAUCAUCAGCAGAAUACGUCACAACCCGCUAGCGUUCAAAUCAGUGACGCAGUUUCAAAGGCAACUGAUGCAGAAACCAGAUUCAAUCAUCAGACCAACUACAGUUGCAUCAAUAUUUGUGCUGAAUUUGCUCAGUGCAAUUCCAGCGAACAAGGACUGUUUCAAAUUUUCAGUGCACCAAAAGAGUGUAAAAAAGUUUGCGGUACAAAUUUUAUCGUGUGUUGCUUAGCAUUUUCUACUUUUUUAAAUUUUGGUUCGCCAUUAGGUGCAAUAUAUUAUAGUAAAUUAUAUACACUAGUAGCCGGAUAGUAACUUAUGUACUCCUAACGGCAGUGAUGAUAUCAUCUAAUAGUUUAAUCACAGAAUUAAUAACAGCAGUUUUAACAGCAAAAUUAAUAAUAGGAAUUAAUUAUAGGAGUUUUCUCUGGUUUAAUCUAAUAAAAUAUUAAUAAGAACGACAAAUCGAAGUGUCUAACUAGCCUUAGUCAUACUUGAAUACCAUAUAAAUAAAUAAUUUUAAUCAAUAAAAUUUUUAAUUUAGAUGUAAUUCAUUAGUAAAUUGAAUCAUGACAACUCGUAGUUUAGUAUGAUUUCUUAAUCCAUUUCAAACUGCUGCUUAUUACAUAUAAAGGUGUGUACAGACUUUCGCUCUGCUCCGCAAUCGAACGUCACUCGAGCAGAUCGAUUGAUGAUCGACAAGAGUGGAACGCGUGAAGAGCUAACAUCUCCCGUAACGUUCAUGAUCGGAGCGAUUGCGGAGCGUGCGCAGAGCUUGUUGGAGGCGCGUAUAUCUGUACGCACCUUAGUAUAUAAAGAACAAAACGAACAACUU